ACACCCGCAGCGCCGAGCCUCGUCAGGCGGGUGAUUCGCCGGAAGAUCUCCGGGCACGACGAGGACGGGGGACCCAACUCGACCGCUCCGGCGGCCUUGGGGUGAAGCCGGUACCACCGGCCGGGCACCUGACAGCCCGAACCCGACAGCUCACCUCGCAGGCGCCGGUCAGGAGAGGA
rnacentral:sRNA from 2 species